AGCGCCAUGCGUCUCUCAUCGGACGGGCAGAGGUCGCUAGAGCAUUUGAAGUGCUGCAUGUUUCUUGUGUCGUCUGCGAUUCAAAACAUGCAGGUGUAAUGGCGCGAAAUACGCGUUGAGUAGCAUCUUCAGGCACAGGGCGGCAUCAUGACGGUGCACCACGGGACGUGAACAAUGAUUGUUCUUGGAAUAGGCGCCAUCAUCACCGCAACGCUCGCAAUGGCGGCGAUAUCGAUCGUCGUCAAUCUUGAGCACGGCCGCGCAACGAGCAGAACUUUCGUCUUCUGAGAUUCCUUUACGGAUCGCUCCGGACAUGCGCGGCAGUGCGCCGGCGCCAUGCCUCGGCA
rnacentral:sRNA from 1 species